GACGAACGCUGGCGGCGUGCUUAACACAUGCAAGUCGAGCGGUAAGGCCCUUUCGGGGGUACGACGAGCGGCGAACGGGUGAGUAACACGUGGGUGACCUGCCCUCAGCUCUGGGAUAAGCCUGGGAAACCGGGUCUAAUACUGGAUAUGACUCCAUGACGCAUGUUGUGGGGUGGAAAGCCUUGUGCGGCUGAGGAUGGGCCCGCGGCCUAUCAGCUUGUUGGUGGGGUGANGGCCUACCAAGGCGACGACGGGUAGCCGGCCUGGGAGGGCGACCGGCCACACUGGGACUGAGACACGGCCCAGACUCCUACGGGAGGCAGCAGUGGGGAAUCUUGCGCAAUGGGCGAAAGCCUGACGCAGCGACGCCGCGUGAGGGAUGACGGCCU
rnacentral:rRNA from 1 species